GUGACAGAUGUCAAAAGAUUGGUAAACCACUUGUGGUCGAUUCAACACUGCAGAGUAUUCAGGUUUCAACAGUAUGGGAAUUGGUGGGGAUUGGUUUAACUGGGACUUUGCCGCAGACUGCUGAUGGAUACCAGUAUAUAUUAACCGCUACAGACUACUUCACAAAAUGGGUCAAAGCUUUUCCACUAAAAACAAAGACUGUGAAGGAAGUUGCAAAGUGUCUGUGCACUAUAGUAUAUUGACAUGGCUGUCCUCUCCAAAUCCUCUCAGAUCAAGGAAGAGAGUUUGUUAAUGAAAUCUCCCUUCCGACCGGUGACGGUGCUGGGGAGGAGGAGCA